AGAAAAGAAACUUAAAUCUGCCCGAAGAAAUCCUUCGAAAGGAAUAAAAGUAAUAAAAAGUAAAAUAACAAAAAAAAAAAAAAAAAAAAAAAAGAAAGACAAGACAAGAAAUCUUGCGUUAGUGCACCAAACACGGAAAGGCAUCGCCGUGUCUGAGAACGUGAGGAUUCAAUAAUACAUAGGAAACUUCCGUUUGGCCGAAUAUCGAACUCCAUUUUGGUAACGAGUCGCGUUACGACUCUUUGGAAUGACUCGUGGAGAUACAAGUGAUAUAUAUAUAUAUAUACAUACAUAUGCACGUUAACAAUGUAUAUAUAUAUAUAAUGCAUGUGUAUAUGUAUAUACAUAUGUAUGUACGUAUGUAUGUAUGUAUGUAUGUAUGUUUGUAUGCAUGCAUGUAUGUAUGUAUGUAUGUAUGUAUGUAUGUAUGUAUGUAUGUAUGUAUGUACAUAUGCGCCGUUGAAAUGGCGCGUUUGACGGUAAGAAGGGGCUGAGGUAAGGGGUUGAGUGAAUGAUAGUGGGGAGGGACAUUGCCCCACCUUUCAUUCGACUUUGACAGUUCCAUUAUGGUAUCGAAGCUAACGGCAAACAGUACGUACUUAUGUACGACGACGAGUAGUCGAUAUUUUCGGGCGAGCUGACGCGUCGGAAAGAAAAA